GUCGGGAAUCUUGGGCAAUGGGCGAAAGCCUGACCCAGCAACGCCGCGUGAGGGAUGAAGGCCUUCGGGUCGUAAACCUCUGUCGGGAGGGAAGAAUGACACGGGACGAAUAAUCUCGGGUCUUGACGGUACCUCCAAAGGAAGCGCCGGCUAACUCCGUGCCAGCAGCCGCGGUAAUACGGAGGGCGCAAGCGUUGUUCGGAAUCAUUGGGCGUAAAGCGAGUGUAGGUGGUUUGGUAAGUCGGAUGUGAAAUCCCAGGGCCCAACCCUGGAACUGCAUUCGAAACUGCUGAGCUAGAGUCCCGGAGAGGAUGGCGGAAUUCCCGGUGUAGAGGUGAAAUUCGUAGAUAUCGGGAGGAACACCAGUGGCGAAGGCGGCUAUCUGGACGGUGACUGACAC
rnacentral:rRNA from 1 species